rnacentral:rRNA from 1 species
UGGUGGGUAGUUUGACUGGGGCGGUCUCCUCCUAAAGAGUAACGGAGGAGCACGAAGGUUGGCUAAUCCUGGUCGGACAUCAGGAGGUUAGUGCAAUGGCAUAAGCCAGCUUGACUGCGAGCGUGACGGCGCGAGCAGGUGCGAAAGCAGGUCAUAGUGAUCCGGUGGUUCUGAAUGGAAGGGCCAUCGCUCAACGGAUAAAAGGUACUCCGGGGAUAACAGGCUGAUACCGCCCAAGAGUUCAUAUCGACGGCGGUGUUUGGCACCUCGAUGUCGGCUCAUCACAUCCUGGGGCUGAAGUAGGUCCCAAGGGUAUGGCUGUUCGCCAUUUAAAGUGGUACGCGAGCUGGGUUUAGAACGUCGUGAGACAGUUCGGUCCCUAUCUGCCGUGGGCGCUGGAGAAUUGAGGGGGGCUGCUCCUAGUACGAGAGGACCGGAGUGGACGCAUCACUGGUGUUCGGGUUGUCAUGCCAAU